rnacentral:tRNA from 1 species
GUGACAAUAGGCUAAUUGGUAAACCUUGACACUUCCAAUGUCAUUUUGCGUGUUCGACUCACGUUUGUCAUA